UUUGGCACCAUCUCAAGUAUAAUUCAAAUCACGAGGCAUUUGUUCAUAUCGACAAUACGCCCAUCGUGGUGUGGUGGACCUCAGUUUUGAGGCCGAGAGUCCUCUGGCGCCCCCCACAGAGCUCCUGGAGAGACUGCCCAGCUAUGACUGGCUUCUUCAAGGGGGCAGAGGACAGAUAUUCUUCCCGCCUUUGGAGGCCCCAGGGAGGCCCCAGGAGCAAAGGUCCUGGCUCUCGUUCCUGGAACACAGGAAGAACCCUGCUUCCUCUGUGGAGUCAUCUCUGGACCCUCCAGCCCACAGUGUCUCUUGUGCUGCCAUCCAUGAAUCUGAAGACAGAUGGGCCCCUCUGUGUGCCAGGGCUGAUGGAUGCUGGAGACACAAGUGUGCAGGAUUGUGGAUUAAUGGCUCUCAGGGCUGCCAUGGAGAAAUGCAUGAAGAUGCAAGGGGAGGAAGGAGGAUUCUUUCCUCUUGGAGGUGUUGGGGCCAGAAAGACUUCAGUAAGGGGGUGGCAUGGCCUCAGGGAAGGGACUUCCAGGAGGAGGGGGAGGCAUGCAGAAAGAGGGCCGAGGUUAGGGUCCCUGUCUCUCGUCCCACCCACGGUCCUCAGGGUGAGUCUCCAUGGGUGCUGCCAUCAGCCCUGGGCCAGUGCCUGGCUGGGGUCUUCCCAUCAUGUUGCUAACAGCUCCUCUGGCCAAGGUCAAGGUACCCAAGGGCAGGAGCCUUUUUUAGCCUGUCUCUGCCUCCUUUUAACUGUGUGACAUCCUCUCUGGACCUCUGUUUUUCUUAUCUAUAAAAUGGUACAAUUCCUCUCUAAGGUUUUGUUUCUUCAGUUGCAGGAUUCUAUCAGCUCUUCUCCUAAGCUCCACAUUUCAACUAAAGUGUUUUUGGCUGUUCUCUAGGAAAACCUGCCCCAUUCUUACCCUGGGCACCUGUUCACGUGGUCGUCUUUGCGGGAGAUACCCUCCUCAGUUGGCCUUCUGAGGGCUUUACCACUACUGCAGCCUCAGUUUCUCACCUGCACAUUGAGGAGGCUGGCUGGCCUGCAUGAGUCCAGAGGCCCUUCCUAGAAGCCCCUGCCUCUCUGUUCGGUCCCCUGCAGAGUCCCUGUGAUGACGGAGGAGGUGGCCCGGGAAGCCCUCCUCAGCUUUGUGAACUCUAAAUGCUGCUACAGCAGCACAGUGGCUGGAGACCUCGUCAUCCGGGAGCUGAAGCAGCAGACCCUCUGCCGAUACCGUCUGGAGACCUUUAGUGAAUCCAGGAUAAGCGAGUGGACAUUUCAACCCUUUACUAACCACUCUGUGGAUGGGCCGCAAAGAGGCGCCUCCCCCAGGCUAUGGGACAUCAAGGUUCAGGUUCCUCCGAUGUUUCAGGAAGAUACCAGGAAGUUCCAGGUCCCUCACUCGUCAUUGGUCAAGGAAUGCCACAAAUGCCACGGGCGUGGGCGGUACAAGUGCAGCGGCUGCCAUGGGGCGGGCACGGUGCGGUGCCCGUCCUGCUGCGGAGCCAAGCGCAAAGCCAAGCAGUCCCGGAGGUGUCAGCUGUGCGCGGGGUCCGGCAGGCGGAGAUGCAGCACCUGCUCAGGAAGAGGGAACAAGACCUGCGCCACCUGCAAGGGGGAGAAGAAGCUGUUGCACUUCAUCCAGCUGGUCAUCAUGUGGAAGAACAGCUUGUUUGAGUUUGUGUCUGAGCACCGGCUCAAUUGCCCCAGGGAGCUCCUUGCUAAAGCCAAAGGAGAAAACCUCUUUAAGGAUGAAAACUCGGUGGUGUACCCCAUUGUGGACUUCCCCCUGCAAGACAUCUCUCUGGCCUCUCAGAGGGGCAUUGCAGAGCACAGCGCUGCCUUGGCCUCCCGUGCCCGCGUCCUGCAGCAGGUGAGCCAGGGCUGAGGGGCCAUCUGUCUCUGAAGUCUCUUCCUGGGCUGCUGAGCCCUCUUUCCUGAGAAUGUCAGAGUGGAAGGAUGAGGAUGUGGCGCGCCAGACCAUUGAGCUGAUCCCCCUCACAGAAGUUCACUAUUGGUACCAAGGAAAGACUUAUGUCUACUAUAUCUAUGGCACUGACCACCAGGUGUAUGCAGUGGACUAUCCUGAGAGGUAUUGCUGUGGCUGUACCAUCGUGUGACAUAGCAUAGCUGUCCCCAGAGCCUGCCAUUCACGUUUGCCAAGGAGGAUGACCGACACUCUCUGAGUGUGUUCACUGUUGGCUGCAUUGGACAAUCACAUACAAACCCUGGCAUGUCCUUCCAGAAAAACCAGCUUAUCAUCUAUCAAGUUCCAACUGCUUAUGCAGCUCCUCUGGUGGAAUCUAUCACUCAUAUGUUUAGCCUACAAUAAUUCAGCUACACACAUUCCUGUAGAACAAAUGAGAAAAAUAAUUUAAAUGGCAAGGU
rnacentral:sRNA from 1 species